rnacentral:sRNA from 1 species
UUGAGUGGGUGGGAGUAAUGUCCCCUAUGUACACAGCAAGUAUAAUAUGGGCAGUAGCAAUGCUGGCUUCCCCAGAUUGCCUGCUACUGAGAUUCCGCUCUGACCUAGAAGGGCCCCCCUCUAGGGAUGUGAGCUCAGUCUCCAUGCCCAUUCGAGCUUUAACCUCU